rnacentral:rRNA from 1 species
AGUCGAACGGUAAGGGCCUUCGGGGGACACGAGUGGCGAACGGGUGAGUGACACGUGGGUGAUCUGCCCUGCACUUCGGGAUAAGCCGGGGAAACUGGGGCUGAUACCGGAUAGGGCUUCUGGCCUCAGGGAUGGGGGUGGAACGCUGUUGCGGGGUGGGCUGGGCCUGCGGCCUAUCAAAUAGUUGGUAAGGUAACGGGUUACCAAGUCCAUAACGGGUAGCUGAUUUGAGAGAAUGAUCAGCCAGAAUGGAACUGAGACACGCUCCAUACUCCUACGGGAGGCAGCAGUGAGGAAUCUUCCGCAAUGGGCGAAAGCCUGACGGAGCGACACCGCGUGAAGGAUGAAGCCCUUUCCGGGUGUAAGCUUCUGUUCUAAGGGACGAAAUUUUUGACGGUACCUCAGGAGAAAGCAUCGGCUAACCCUGUGCCAGCUGCCGCCGUAA